AUCGCCUUGGAAUCUUGCUAAAAUGCAGAUUAUAAUUCAGUAGGCUUGAGGAGGACCCCGAAUUCUGCAUUUCCAGCAAGCUUUCAAGUGAUGCUGA
rnacentral:pre_miRNA from 1 species